AGACCCGAAACCCGGUGAUCUAGCCAUGGGCAGGUUGAAGGUUGGGUAACACUAACUGGAGGACCGAACCGACUAAUGUUGAAAAAUUAGCGGAUGACCUGUGGCUGGGGGUGAAAGGCCAAUCAAACCGGGAGAUAGCUGGUUCUCCCCGAAAGCUAUUUAGGUAGCGCCUCGUGAAUUCAUCUCCGGGGGUAGAGCACUGUUUCGGCUAGGGGGCCAUCCCGGCUUACCAACCCGAUGCAAACUGCGAAUACCGGAGAAUGUUAUCACGGGAGACACACGGCGGGUGCUAACGUCCGUCGUGAAGAGGGAAACAACCCAGACCGCCAGCUAAGGUCCCAAAGUCAUGGUUAAGUGGGAAACGAUGUGGGAAGGCCCAGACAGCCAGGAUGUUGGCUUAGAAGCAGCCAUCAUUUAAAGAAAGCGUAAUAGCUCACUGGUCGAGUCGGCCUGCGCGGAAGAUGUAACGGGGCUAAACCAUGCACCGAAGCUGCGGCAGCGAACGUAUCACCCAAGACAACUUUACGGAGUUGACGAUUGACGGAGCGAAGCGACGUCAAAGCGUUCAUUAAAGUCGAGUUGGCUUAGGGAUACGUUCGUUGGGUAGGGGAGCGUUCUGUAAGCCUGUGAAGGUGUGUCGUGAGGCAUGCUGGAGGUAUCAGAAGUGCGAAUGCUGACAUAAGUAACGAUAAAGCGGGUGAAAAGCCCGCUCGCCGGAAGACCAAGGGUUCCUGUCCAACGUUAAUCGGGGCAGGGUGAGUCGACCCCUAAGGCGAGGCCGAAAGGCGUAGUCGAUGGGAAACGGGUUAAUAUUCCCGUACUUGGUGUUACUGCGAAGGGGGGACGGAGAAGGCUAUGUUGGCCGGGCGACGGUUGUCCCGGUUUAAGCGUGUAGGUGUGUGUUCCAGGUAAAUCCGGUUCACUUUAACACUGAGGCGUGAUGACGAGGCACUACGGUGCUGAAGCAA
rnacentral:rRNA from 1 species